GAUGCUGACAGCAGCCAAAAGCGAUUUGGCACAGCUCAGGAGAAGUGCCCAGGUGACAGCCUGCACUACCAGUGAGCUGAGACCGGCUUGGUCUGCACCACCUGCCAGCAGACUCAACAGCAACAGGACAGUGAGCCCCUUCUUGUCUUGGGAUUCAUCUGGACUGGAAAGGUGGUGAGUUCCCCAUUCUCUCGUCAUGGAAGAGAAAGAGCAGCCUAAAGGACCUUAACUGAAGAACCAGUUCCCUGCACAGAGCAGCUGACUGAUGGGAUGCUGAACACACAGGUUGAGACCUUCAGUGUUAAAGUGAAAAAGCCAAACUAUUUCAAGAAUGAGGUCUUUGGAGUGGGGCACUACAUCACUAAUUUAGGUAUCAUGAUGAUGGAUACUGUAAAAACCAAGAUGAAAUGAUGGGAAUUCGUUGCAGUGCAGUUUGGAAGCAUUUAAAAACUCCUGUGUGCUUACUGCUAGUCUCCUGUAUUCAAAGAAUGCUUUUAGACACCAGUAUUCAUCCAUGUAUGGAGACUACAAACAUUGUUUUAUCCAUUGUGUUAUCCACUUCCUUUCAAUGAAAUGAAAUGAUGCCAUGUUUCACUUGCUAUUCCUUCCCCUGACAGCAGCCACAGGGCUCCGGGAGCUGCUCAGAGCAGCAUGGGCCAUCUCCAGCAAACAUUCCCAUCUGGGGAGGCACUCGGAAAGCUGCAGAGGGAGGCAGGUGUGCAGCUGCCAACCCCUAGUCCCUGAGGGGAAAACUCUGCGUUCCCAGCAAAAGGAACCUCCUGGCACGUGCUUCCAUCUCAGGGGUCUGCCUGGCCUUUUGCUGACAGCAUAAUUUUCUAAGGAGUCUCAGAGUCUGACAUCUCUGUUUGUGACCGUUUUUUCCUAAGCAACAUUAAUAACUGCUGCAAGUCUGCAGGUGCAAUGUCCGCUAAUUGUGUCUGCAUCACCAGCUCUUACCCUAACACUCUGCUGACAUCUGGAUUUCUACACGGACAGCAAAGAAACCUCCAUUUGUCUUGGAAAGAGUGCACUGCUCACUCAUGAGCUCUUGGCCAACAGCUCCCCAUCAAGAAGAAAUGUAUAACUGGGAAAUUUGCCUAAGUCAGUCGUGGACCUAUAAAAACUUAUUGAUGUACCUAAUGGAAGUAAACUGAACCAAUGUGAACCAUGGUUUGUGUCACAAACACACCUGAAGUGCUCUUGUGUGAUGAACUGAGACAUCUUCCUUGAAGCGAUAGAGUCAGUUGCUAUCCAAGUGGCUGACAUGGCCAUCCUCACUGAGGUGGUGGAACACGGCAUGGUGGGAAUCUGCAGUGACCAGGCGCUGAAGACAAAGAGAGGAUUUAAAACUCCAGAAACUUGAGCCCAUGGUUUCCAUGCCUUCUCCUUCUCAUGUGCAGCAGCUGAAAACUUUCUUCCCUGCUUCAAAGAAGACUCAUCUUAAAUAUGAGGCUUUCUUCUUGGAUGCAAUCAAAGCAGAAGCAAAGAAGGUGGAAUUUUCCAAGCGUGGCUGCUUCUGAGCACAGAAACAUCACCUGAGACUGAGGGUCUCUGCCUUGCCUGAUGUUGGUGCACACUCAGCUCUGUCUCAUUUCAUCUGGCAGUGCUUCACAGGACUCUCUGGAGAAGCUGUGUGUUCCAUGAGGGGUGUGAUGGACUCUUCCUGCCCAGCAGUUUUCUACCACUGCCCCUGCAGGGUGCUGCUAGUGGCCUGUGUUCACCAAACAAGUUAGGGAGGGCAUGUUCCCCAUUGACUGACACAGAACAGGUGUGGUAAGGUCUCACUUUGCCCAAAGCUGAGGUGAGGAAGACGUUCCCAACCUGAGGCUCUUGGCAAGUUGCAUGAGAUCUCUCAUUGCAGCCUUCCUGUGCAUUUCCUGUGUGUAGGGGUGAAAUGCCAGCCAGUGUUUGGCUCUCUGAACCACAGCCAUGUCUUCAGCCUGGUGGCUUGAGCAAGCCCUUCAAGCAUGGAUGGCUUCGUAUUUGCUGCUAAAGGAGACUUCAGCAGAAGCCAAAGGUGGUGUGUGGUGCUUGUAAGGGGGAGCUUUGCUGGAAAAAGCCCGGGAGAAGCUCUUGGCAAGUAGGCUCUGGUGCUGUAGCAGAGCCACUCCAUGCUGAUGGUAAAGCAAGGGAGACAUCAAGUAUUACACCUAAAACAUUGUAGUGGGCAUACAGGUGGUUCACUGGAUGCAGGUUCAACCAGCAAACCUUCAUGCACUCUGAUGCACUCUGACAAGGAAGAGCUGACCUCACAGAAAUAUGUCUUUCCACCCUGGAUGCAGAGCACAGGAGGAAUUGUUCCUGGUUGCCACCUUUCUCCACCUCAGCCAGCCCAGAUAACUCCAUGAACUAGUGGUUGAGACACUGCAGAUACAAUGGUCCUGGUUCUCCUUUACUCUAGAACCUUGGAUUGUGCCCAUCACCAAAAAGAAGCACAAAGUGGAUGUAAAGGUACUUCAUGCACAAUCCUGAGGCAAUGCCAGGAACCUUAGCACAGGUAAGAAUGAGACUUGAGAUCUCUACAAGUACUAUGAAAUGCAUGCACACUGCCCAUGAGCAAGCAAAGGGGAAGAGGCAGAGAAGCAGGAAAAAGGAAAACAAUUCCUGUUUAUUCAAUCUGUAAUCGUAGGGAAGAGCAGACCCUUCAAAGCUUCCUAAUUCUCUAACUGGCACGUUUUAAAUUUCUAGCUGGAACACAUCGUGUGCAGUCCACAAACCCAGGAAGAAAUGCACCUACACAGUUUUAAUGUGACUCGCCUCAACUUCAGGUCAACCAAGCAGUACAUCUGGAUGACACAACACAUUGCUCUUGAGAGCCCCAACAAAGCUCUUGUGUUGUUGCUGUGCUUUGGACUGAGUGUUAUUCAGGCUCGAUGACCAACUGGUGGUGCUAAUGCUUCAUUGGAUGGGAGGUGAAGGAGGGUUCAUUACUCCUCACUAAAUAUGUACAUGCAUUACACAAACCCUCUGCAAAUUACAAAGUAGCUUUCACCAACCUUGCAAUUAAAGGAUCCAGCUUGAUUUUUAACAGACACUUGCAGGAAGCAGUUACACACAUGUAUACUGAAAUUUCAUAUGGCAGCACUUUAAUCACAGUGGUUUCAAGGAGCAGGCAUUUGCUUAGGACUCUUGACCUUCAGUCCUUAGCCCUUACAUCAAGGUUUUGUGUGUUCUCUUGUAUGUGUGAUAGGAUGUUUAUUGGGUGGGAGGGAUGUUAGAUACUCAUGCAGUUACACAAAGGGCUGUGAAGCAGUAAAGCAUCAAGCUAGGGACAGCGGGAUGGCUAGCCACACUCAGAGCAACCCAGGCAGCUGAUCAAACCUAAGGUCUAAGCCUCAGUGAACAGGUGUUGCUCUGUGUUUCAAGCAUUGUGGUUGUUUACUGCAACAGACCUGAGCUCCAAGAACAGCAGAGCAUGAGAAAACAUCUCAUUUAUUUCAAUGAGGGAGCCAAGGUGCAAUUCUUUGUAUCUGGUGGAGCUGUUUACUUACUUAGAGGUUUGAACCUAAUGGUAUUUUGCAACUCUGUCCCCUAGGUGUUGCACUGAGAGCCACCUGUAACAAAAAGGUCACUGACAAGUUUGCAAGGGGUUGUCCUGUUGCCUGGAGAGGAGAGGGGAGGAAGAGAAUAAUUUUCUUUCGCAGCACACAGACUGUGAGAAGAAAACCCCUUUUCACACCAGCCCUGACCUGUGAGGUUGGUUCCCUGGCAGGGCUGCACAGGAGGCACGCAGAGUAACAGCGAGGAAUGGAGCGGGGACCAAUGGUGUGAUAUGGUGGUCGGUGGUUUGUGACAUUCCAGGUGAUGACAGCCACCAUAGUGUCGCAUUGCCACUGAGUCUAUUUAUUCCCUGAAAUCAUCUUCCUCUGGUAGCUGCUAUGUGUGUGGAGCAGCAAGGUACCUCCAGGCCAGCAGGAAUGGCAGGUUGUGCCCAUCCCCAGCCCUGUGGGCAGGGGCAUAGUUCCUUAUUUCCUCUGGACUAAAGCAUCUGUGGGUGCUACACCAACAUCUACCAUCUACCACCCACUCUCCUGCAAAAACACCUUGGGAACUGUUGCAUUCAGAUGCUAGAUUAUGGCCAUUCCACAAAAAGAAAACAGGACAGAUGCCAAAAUUGGGACUCCUCCAAGGUCAAACGCACAAAGGUCUCCCUCUCCUCCUCUUGCUUCCUGCAGCCUGCCAUGCCAAAUCGUGGCUGUGUUGCUGCUGGUGCAGGGUGGAUUGUGUGGGGUAUGCUAGUGAAUGUGCUGCAUUUCUGCAUGCAGUCCUUGCCUUCUGACAUUUGCAAAUUUGUCCCUUAAUCUCUGUGGUGCAGGAUUUGCUGUCAAGAAACAUUGUCUGGGAUGAGCUGUUGGGAUUCAGAUUAUCAACUAAACAUUAAUUAUUCUUCUGACUAAACCCUCAACAGCUAGGCUAGAUAAUACAAAUGUAAAGAAAGAAAGGAGUAUGAGUCAUGUUCUGUACUUGAAAUCUAGAAUGAAUCCUACUGUAGGAGCAGAAUCAUAUACCGUAAGCAUAUGUGUGCUGAGACAUAACAGAGCGAGAUCCUCAGCUGGGACUGAGCCAGGCAUUGCAUCUGGAACCAAAAGGCAUGUUCAUGAGUUGAAGCCCCCAAUGUGCUUUAUUUUGAAGACCCACAGGGAUUACAGGUAACAAGAAGAUCUGUCAGACUGUGCUGAGGAAACUAAAAUCAGAAUAACAAGGAAGAUCUGUUGAUUUUUUUGCUGUAUAGAACUACUUUCUUAUGAAUCACAUUUAUGCAAGAAACUGCUCAGACACAGAAGUAGCAUAAGCCCUUAGAGAAGCAGUAACUGGCAAAGUGUAAACGCAAAAACAUCAAACCUUUGUGAAUGAAAUUCCCUCCUGCCUGAUGUCUUCACUAGGCAGGAAGACCCAUGUCUUCAGUUUGUGUAGGUGGCUGCUCUAAUUGCACCACAGGUUUGUAUUUAUAUUUAUGUCCCUGUGUUCCAUGCGUGGUAGAAAUGUCGUAGUGCUUAAUUUCAUCAUGGUGUUGUCUCUGUAUUAAGCUGGUCUAGAGUGGAAGUAUUUACUCUUCAGCCUAUGCAACUAAGUGCUUUUAAGUCCAAGCCAUGGCUCAGAAUAGAUCCAUAAGGAGCUAAUGAGAAGAAUAAAAAUCAGAUAGUUAAAAAAUGAUGUAAGGUAGGGUCUUAAUUUUUUAUUAUUAAAUUCACAGUACAUUAAAUAUUAAGUGUUCAUAAACUUUGUUUUGUGCAGUGAUAAAUUAAUAAUAUCUACAUAGGCAUGUUCUUUUACAACAGGGAGACCAAGAAAUGUAGUACCGGAGGAUCUUGUGUUGACAACUGAGGCUAUUAGAAUAGACUCCUUCAUCCUCAAUCAUAAAAAGUAGGUUCUGCUGGAUUUUGGCUUUCUCUGACAAAGUGAAAGGGAAAUGAAGGACACCGAGCUCUCCAGGAGGAUGGCUGCAGCAUGGCUGGAGUGCUCCUCAGUGCCCCCACGCCAGGGCUCACACCAAGCGGCCCAUUCCUGCCAGAGUGCCUAAGGGAAAUGCUGCCCAUUGGCCAGGAAAAUACCAUGUAAGGAGAAGUGGAAGGUUUCCAGCUCCCAAGGAGCUGCUGGUAAGCAUUUCCAAAGGAGCGUAAGAACACUUUGAAGUUCAGCCCAUGAGUUAAUAACCAGCUUUUGGGGGAUGCUUUCAAAUCACGUCCCAGAGGACCAAGUUGCACUUCAUUUUACUAAACAUGGGCACACAAGGUACAGCGAGGUUUACCAGAUGCCCCUCCCAAGGUGAAUGUGCUUUGACAGGAGAGCUACACACAGCUGAUGGGCAGGAUCACAGCUCCACAUCCCCACCAGCCCCACAGAUACUGCAGGAGACGAGAUUGUAAAGCAGCACUGAGGCUGCGUGUGUCCGGUGAUGCUCAGGGAUCCCCUCUGUAGCAUGGUGUGCUCUAAGCCUCCAAAGCUGACAUCCCUUUGAAAGCCUUCUUAAUAUAUCCAAUUAUAGAUUUUCAGCAACUUUGAGGAAUGUUGGCUUUCCCAGCAGCUGACCUCAUAAAACACCAUUGAAACCAUGAGGGAUUUUGCUCUUGAGCUCAGUGGGGGAGGAUCAGGUCCUACAUAAUUUUAUUGUCAGCAAUGAUGACCUCUCUUCACAAAUGAAGAAUGCCCGUCCUGAACCAUGCCCCUCAGAACGUAAACUGUUUAUUUUUAUAGCCGGAUCCUUCCCCGAGUGGGAUAUUUGUGCAUGGUUAACUUAUCCUGGGCUUUAAAUGCUUGCCAAGUGGCUUUAAUAGCAGGAUGUUGUUUAGAAAGAUUGGGAAGGAUUGCAGGCAGUAAUAGAGAUAAUUGCCAAGGAGAGAGAAAUGAAUCUUCAGUCUGAGACCAAGUUGGCUUUAUUGUUGGGUCAGGAGGGAAGGUCCAGAAAAAUCCCUCAUCUGCAACUAAAGGUGUAAUGAUGUUUUGGGAUUUAGGGAAGCUGGCAGCUGUCGACAUUUUCCAAUAAAAGCAUCUUUUGAGGCUUAACACAGGUUUGUAAUUCCAUAUAAAGGCACGAAGGCCCCAUUUUGCUGCAGGAAUUUAGCAUCGCAAGAUCCAGAAAGCUGGAGGUGAGUUUUGGGGAGAGUAGCAGCCAGUGAGGCCCCGCACGUUAGUCAUCCUGCGGGCGGGGAGCAGGCCAAGUGCCAGCCUCCAACCAGACAUUAUCCCACCCCAUCAUGCAGAAUUAAGGUGCUUUGUGACAUGGCAGCUUGGCAGCUCGGCCUUGUUUCCAAAACAAGCCACCCAAAAUGAAGCUGGGGCAAAACCACUCAAACAUAUCAAAACUAUGGAAGAAUCAUAGAGUAUUAAGGUUGGAAAAAGACCUCUGAGAUCACCCAGUCCAGCCCCAACCCACCCACACCACUGCUCACUAACCAUGUCCCUCAGUGCCUCAUCUACGCAGUUCUUAAACAUCUCCAGGGACACUGAUUUCACCACCUUCCUGGGCAGCCUGUGCCACUGCAUUAUCACUCUUUCUGAGCAGGAAUUUUUUCCUAAUAUCCAACUAAUCCACUAUUAUCCUUAUAUUCUAAUUGUUCCUAACAUCCAACCUAAAAAAAGCCCCAUUUGCGAACACAUCUCCCAGUCACCCAGCAGAACAGCAUCCCUGCAGCGGCUGGUUCAGUUCCCCAGCCCGGGGCUGUGUUCCCAGCCAGGAUGCAGCCCCACUUCAGGAGCAGCCACCCUGGGCCCCCAGCCCACCCCGCACAGCGACGUGCUCGCACUUGGUGCAUUGCUCGGAGAUUUGGGGCUGAGGCGCGUUCCUGUGGCUGACACCCAGCCCGGCCUGCCCGUUCCUGCGCAUCCCAGUGCAGGGCUGUCAUGGCUCAUUACCUGUCUGUCUGUGGUUCAAGCCUGGGUGACUUCUAAUUUUUUGAAGCUUAAUGCUGGGAAAACAGAAUUGGUUCAGUUCACCUCCUGGAUAUGUGUGUUUAUGAUAUACAACGUGAUAUCAUGCACAGCUUCCCAGCUGCUCUCACUGCUGAAAAAUGGCCCUGCUUUAUUCGUAACAGACCUUUCUCACAGUGUACACAUCACAGUGUGAUGAGGGAACGCAUCCCCAGAGUUAUGCCAGAGCCUGGGUGCCAUUUGCUCCUGCUCUGUCCAGGCCCACAGCCUGCAGUGACUGCAAGCCCCUCGCUGCGCCAUUCUCAGCUGCUUUACAAGGCUGCAGCUAAUGUCAUAACAAGAAUUAAACUGUCUCAUCCUAUUACGCCCAUCGUAGCUGACUUCACUGCCUAUUAAGGUGACAGUGCAGUGAUUUGAAAUUUGUGUUAAUUGUUUACCCCGUGUUGCCGAGGCCUUCUUGGGGUUUGUGCAGCAGCCUGCAGGUUUCCUCUGGCCGUGGAUAAUCCAUGUGUUCUACUUUAUAUGGUCUCAGAGAGAAUACCCUCAUAGUCCAGGUCAUGCUGUCUGCCCAUGGAGGUCCUUGGCCCAUUCAUUACUCCACUUUGGUCACAUUAGAAAACCCAAACCCAUGGGAAGGGCAUGGCUGGCUUUGGUGCUACGAGGCUUUAAGAGGUUUUUUGCCCUCUCUGAUUCCUGUGUGCAUCUAUUGCCUUCAUUCUGUGCCGCAGACAAAAAAAAUGAACUUGUACACGAGCUGCAAAUGGGUCUGAAAUUCCUCAGGCGCCCGGCACAUUUUGCACAGUUUAUAGCUUAUAAACAUGGUUGCGAUUUGCAAAACUAUUGCUGGUUAUUUGAAUUCCCAGCAUUUCUACCUGGGGAAAAGCAAAGUCUCCCAGCUGCCAUUAGAGAGCAUUUCAUUAGCGCAACCAUUCACUAUUUAUAUUUUGAGCAGAAACGCGCCACUUGCUGCCACAAAUAAAGUAUAAAGCUCUCCCAGCCCAUUUCUGGCUGCUCCCACACCCGAGCACUGCACCCAGCGUGGUCCUGUGCUGCCGGAGGCAUUGCCUGCUUUUAACGCCAACUUUGCUACCCUUGGAAAGCACCACUUGUUGCCCUCCAGCCUUCAAACACCCAUUGUUCCCUAUCUGUUUGGAUGAACUUUUCCCAUGUACGUUCAUCUGGGAUUUAAUCACUAUAAAACCACACACAAUGACAGAUUGUGGGUGAGCAAAAGGUGCCGGGCGUGCACAAUGAGGUGCUUCAGCCCCUGCCUCUGCGUGCUGUACAGGAGUGAGAGCAAGGGGAGCCCAGCAGGCUCCACACGAGGGGUGAAUGAGGCUGGGCACAGUGUGGGCAGGAUGUGUCCUGGCUCCCCCUCUACCUGGCAGCCUCACAUCUGCGUCCGCAUCUGCGUCCACAUCUGCAUCCUUAUUGUGUCUUCUGUUCCCAGUCCCUCUAGCACGAGAAGCUGCAAAUUGGAGGUAAAAUGAUUAUGGAAUUACUCUGAGGCUUUCCUCAAACUUGCAGACGUAGUCUUAUUUCUCUUGGCCUCUGCCACCAGCAACCGCCUGAGUCACUGCUUUAGAGGAAAAGUGCACUUAGCUCUUCUGCGGCUACCGCUUCUCACCCAGGAACAUCCGAGGGUGUUUAAGUAUUCAUGGGGUGUGGAGUUUGGGGAUCAGAUGGUUUCUGUACUUUUUUGCUUGGAUUUCUACCCUUAUCUUAUGACAUCCUCACUCGUUGCUGCUAUGACCUACUUAGGAAACUGCUGGCACCUGCAGCAGCACUGCACGGCACAGCAUGGCACACCAUGGCAUAGCACAGCACGGUGCAGUGUGCUGCAGCCCAUGAGUCCCAAAUGGUGUGGAUGCACAACAGGACGUGGGCUGUUGGCAGCACCCAGCACUGCUCCCCAGCCUGAGCCUGGCGGAGCUGCUAACAUCAUUUGUCGGGUUUUUUUCCAGGAACGCUCUCCUCCGUGUCCACAUUUUGAAAACAAAAGGCAAACAAGUUGCAGCAGACUUUCUCUUGCAAAAUGAAUUUGUCAAGCUCUGCUGCGUUUUGCUGAAGUGUAAGAAACUGAAAUAAAAGUGAUCAGAAAGUUAAGAACCUGGCUCCAGGGCAGAGAGCGGCGGGGAUUUCGCUGCCUGUUUGCUCUUCCCAACGCUGGAGGUGUGGGCAGGUUUCCUUCUUGCCAGAGGAAAUUAUUAAUGGCUCCAAGACCUUUCCAGACUGAUCUUUUCCCUUCCCCGUUGCAUUCUGCAGAUAAUACUUCGAUAAUGUUUUGCAGACAGUAAUGAAAAUAGCCCAGGAAAUCACAUUUUGAGACAGCGCUGGGGCUCUUCCCUUUAUUCCAUUCCAUUUAUCCAUAGGCUCUGGCAGCAAAUGGAAAUUCCAAGUGCCCCCCCCACCAGACAUAUUUCUGUCUGCAUUCUGCUGCUUUUUUUCUACCCCAUCUCCUUCUGCUCUACGUGAUCUGUCAAUAUUGGGUUUCCCUUCAUUACACUUUCCCCCCUUAGCGCUUGUUCUUCCUCGCUGAUUUCUCCUCUCUUUACUGUUGCUGUUUGCAGGGUUUGCUUUGGUUCAGGACUGCUGCGCAGUACCUGAAAGCAACGAGCGUGGCUGUGUCUAUCACUACAGAGCACUGUUUGCAUCAGCUCUGUUUUGAGGCUCCAGCUCCUCACUCACUGCUCACACUGCAUUGCAAUUACCGAGCCAAGGUAGUCGGUGUAAUGAAGAGCUGUCAAUACUGCAUCUAUCGCAGAUGAAGCGUCUGCAGGUAUGGAUCAGAGCAAUCUGCCAUUGAUUUUGGGAUUCUCACUCCUCUGAGGACAAAUCCAUGCAUUGUCCCCAGGUGAUGGGUAUUGCCUGUAGAUUUCUGAUUUCUUCAGAGUGUGUUGGUGUGAAGCAAGUGUCGGUCUCAGUGCCACUGGGUGAAGCUUGAUUGGAAGAGUGGGCACAAACAGUGCAGAGAAAACACUGCUGUGCUGCUGCAUCUCCUAUUGCAUCUGUGUGUGUUGAGCCAGCCCUUUGAAAGCUCUUUGUGCUGCAGAAGAUCCCAUACAGAAGCGGUUCGUUGCUCGGAGGGCUCAGCCCGGUCCGCUUCGGACUCGGCUUAAGGGCCGGAGGGGUCGGAGAGGGAGGGGGCGGGGGUCCGAGCCGGGGUUCGGGGACGUGCAGCCCCUGUCCCGGCUGAGAUAGCGGCGGUGGCCGUGUGAGAGCCUCGGGGCGGCCCCAAACCCUCCUCCCGACCCCCCCCCCCCACCUCGCACCUGGAGCCUCCGGAGGGGAACGGCCCCGAGAAUGGGAAUCAAGCAGCAGAGAGCGGGGAGGUGCGUGAGCUGUCGGAGG